rnacentral:lncRNA from 1 species
AGCCCACAAAGAUCUCCGCCACGGCACAACCCAAGGGGGGCGCCAACCCAGACAGGAAGACCACGUCAGUGACUCAACACACUCAAGUGACGCACCCCCCCUAGGGACGGCAUGGAAGAACACCAAUAAGCCAGUGACUUAGCCCCUGUAAUAGGGUUAGAGGCAGAGAAUCCCAGUGGAGAGAGGGGAACCAGGCAGAGACAGAAAGGACUGUUCGUUGCUCCAGAAACCUUUCUGUUCACCUUCACACUCCUGGGCCAGACUACACUCAAUCAUAGGAUCCACUGAAGAGAUGAGUCUUCAGUAAAGACUUAAAGGUUGAGACCGAGUCUGCGUCUCUCACAUGGUUAGGCAGACCAUUCCAUAAAAAUGGAACUCUACAGGAGAAUGCCCUGCCUCCAGCUGUUUGCUUAGAAAUUCUAUGGACAAUUAGGAGGCCUGCGUCUUGUGACCGUCAUGUACGUGUAGGUUCUGGAACCAAGGCCAGCACCGCAUAUCCAAACAGAUACCUUUCUGUGAGUCAGUCCCCUUGAAAUACUUUCACAAGAUCGCCAAGACAGCUGGCUUCUUUGACAACGUCUUCACAAGUCUCCAAAAUAGUUGUGACCACAUCCUGCAAGAGGAACACAAGCACCUCUUUCAUCGUCCUUUGUUCUUUCAAGGAGAAUUUCAUUUUGUUUCACGUAAACUUCUAUUUGAAGUGCAUUGCGUGCAACUUUGCUCGACCUACUUGUUGACUUUUGAUCUGCCAAACUACAAAUAUGAUUUUGGAGCAACAUAAUUAUAAUUUGGUUUAUUAAAACAUUACUAAGUGCUUCCCUAUCUGCAGACUUGAAUCACUUAUUUAUCUCUCACAUCAGAGGAAAUAGAACAAGGUUGCCAAACUGCAGUAAACACACUGCAACUCAAACCUGACCCCAUCCAAAGCCAUAGAAAGCCAUUCAUUAG